rnacentral:rRNA from 1 species
AUGAACGCUAGCUACAGGCUUAACACAUGCAAGUCGAGGGGCAGCAUGGUCUUAGCUUGCUAAGGCCGAUGGCGACCGGCGCACGGGUGAGUAACACGUAUCCAGCCUGCCGUCUACUCUUGGACAGCCUUCUGAAAGGAAGAUUAAUACAAGAUGGCAUCAUGAGUCCGCAUGUUCACAUGAUUAAAAGGUAUUCCGGUAGACGAUGGGGAUGCGUUCCAUUAGAUAGUAGGCGGGGUAACGGCCCACCUAGUCUUCGAUGGAUAGGGGGUUCUGAGAGGAAGGUCCCCCACAUUGGAACUGAGACACGGUCCAAACUCCUACGGGAGGCAGCAGUGAGGAAUAUUGGUCAAUGGGCGAGAGCCUGAACCAGCCAAGUAGCGUGAAGGAUGACUGCCCUAUGGGUUGUAAACUUCUUUUAUAAAGGAAUAAAGUCGGGUAUGCAUACCCGUUUGCAUGUACUUUAUGAAUAAGGAUCGGCUAACUCCGUG